CAAUAAUUAAUUAAUAUACGAAAUUGUUUAUUUCAAAAACCUUUUUGGCAGGUAACAGCAAGAACAGCAGUACCUACGGCUAGCCGCGCCGCUAGAAAUCGCCACCAUCCAGUAACGCACAUUGUAAACCGUGGAGACCGGCAUUCAAAGUAACCUGUAACGGCACACGACCCGAGUACUGCGUAUGACGUUAGGAUACGAGAAAUUCUCGAUCUAACGCACGUUAAUAAUGACGAUCGACGAUUCGUGGCACGUAAUCAAAGCCGCCGCCGCGGAGAACAAACACGAGCUGGUGUUGUCAGGCUCGGCGAUCUCCGAAUUGAUCCAGAAAAGGGGCUUGGACAAGUCACUGUUUAACCUGCAACACUUGAACUACUUGAACAUCACACAGACAUGCUUGCACGAGGUGCCGGAGGAAAUUGGCCAGCUGGUAAAUUUAGCCACUCUCGUUCUGCAUUCGAACGAUAUCUCGAAGAUACCUGGCACGAUCGUGAAAUUAGAGAAACUAAAGGUCCUCGACUGCUCGCGAAACAAGUUGUCGUCGUUGCCGGAUGAGAUCAGUAAACUUCCCCAGCUAACGACGAUGAACUUGAGCUCGAACCUUUUGCGCUCGUUGCCAACGCAGAUGAGCAACGUCAAAUUGAGCGUUUUAGACCUUUCCAACAACCAGUUUGAGGAGUUCCCCGACGUCUGUUACCCGGAGCUAAUUCACCUCAGCGAAAUCUACGCGAAUGGAAACAAGAUAAAAGCAAUUCCUACCACCAUAAGUCAGCUCGCAUCGUUGAAGAUAUUAAACGUCGCAGACAACUCUAUUACAGCUGUUCCAGGUGAAAUAGCUGAUUGCAACAAGUUGAAGGACCUCGAUUUAAAAGGAAACGCAUUGACGGACAAGAGAUUGUCGAAGUUAGUCGAUCAAUGCAGAACCAAGCAGAUAAUGGAAUACGUGAAAUUGCACUGCGCAAAGCAGGACGGUUCUGUUUCUGCGAAUUCUAAAUCGAAGAAAGGGAAGAAGGCACAGAGAUUAUCUGAAUCUGAAAACAAUGCCAACUCGAUAGAGGCUUUAACGCACAAGUUGAAAGUAUUGAAAGUGACAAACGAGACACCAGUAAUUAAAAUCACGAAACAUGUAAAAAAUAUCAGGCCCUAUAUUGCAGCUUGCAUUGUAAGAAAUAUGAAGUUCACGGAAGAUAGUUUCAAAAAGUUCAUUCAGUUUCAAACGAGAUUGCACGACGGGAUAUGCGAGAAACGAAAUGCAGCUACGAUCGCUACGCACGAUUUAAAGUUAAUCGCACCGGGCGAUUUAACGUACACGGCGAUGCCACCGAAUGAACUGGAGAUCAAGCCAUUGAUGCAUAACAAGGUUUACACCGGUGUCGCAUUGUUCCAAAGAUUGCAAGCUGAAGCUGAGAAUCUCAGAAAAGAGAAGAAACGUAACGUAUACUCGGGCAUUCACAAGUACCUCUAUCUGUUAGAAGGAAAACCUUUGUUUCCCUGUUUACUGGAUGCUACGGAACAAGUGAUAUCGUUUCCACCAAUAACGAACAGUGACAUUACGAAGAUGUCUGCCGAUUCUCAAGAGAUGUUGAUAGAAGUAACGAGCGCUACGUCGUAUCAGAUUUGCAGGAACGUGUUGGACCAGUUUCUGAAGGAGUUGGUCGUUCUUGGAUUCGCGUCUGUCUCCCAAGAGGAAAACUCAUCGAACUAUCACAAUUUAGUCGUCGAACAAGUAAAAGUGGUGGACAUGGAGGGUAACAUGAAACUGUUGUAUCCCUCGCGAGCAGACCUAGACUACGCGGAGAAUUUGAUAGCUGUAUUGCGCGAGUAAUAAAUCAGUAGGAGUAAGUCAUCCAUUGCUCGAUGGCGACCCAAUCUGGUGUUUACAUCUUUCGUUUCUUCUUAUAAAAAAAAUCAUUACUUCGUGUUUCCAUGUUGAUAGUACAUACCCAUGAGGUUUCGUUUGCGAUUGUGUGAAAACUUUAAUACCGAGUUAUUCUAAUAGUAUGCGGUGCAUGUAUAUAAAGUACUCGCAUACUUUGUACAGAAUAUUUUUGCUACGCACUAAUAUAUAAUUAAAUUUCGACCAUUAUAUUUUUAUACAUUCGAAAUAUGUAACAAUAACAUAAUAAAUGUUUAUUUAACGUUACAUAAACCAAUAAAAGCGAAGACGAGUACUUUGAAUAAUUACCAUUUAUACGAACGUGUGAUUUAAAUAACUAAUUCCGUGGAGAACGUGGUACUUGGUCGUUUCGCAUUUGAAUCAUGAGAGAAGGUCGAAACGGAAAAAUUAAAGAUCCGUCGAGUAAUAAUAUUGUAGAUCGUGAAAUCCCAAAGUCUGGCACACGCGUGUAGAUAAAAAUGAAACGUUACUUGGAAUGAACUAUGUUGGUCGCAGCUUCGAAUGACGGACAGACAAACCGCCAUUUAACGGACACCAUUUUGGCGCGGCGCUGUCGUAUCGCGAAUCAUCCCGUAGUAAGCCGGUGAACAAUUCUCAUCUGUUUUUAUAAAUGUUCUACUUUGUUUCGCGAGUCGUAACGUAACGGAAACUGUAAACACCGGCAAAGUGAAACGUCUCUUGCAAACCUCGUCGACCGUAGACUGUGACGGUUUCAUUUCAGGGUAUUUUAAUGGGAAGAAGAAACUCCGAGGAAUUUACUGAACUUCCCAACAUGCGCGAAUGUUUGAAGUGUUAACAUGGCGCCGAAACAUGACUGAUCAUGAUGGGGGAGUGAGAGCAAAACCCUCGAGCAAUGAGAAGUCUUCAUAGUAACAGAGGAAUUAACGUGCACAUAUAAACAUAUACAUAGAUACUAGAUAUACGUGUACAUACGUAUAUAUUUAGUAGAAAACAUGUUUAUACAUAUGUAAUGAUACACGUGUAACCUUAAUUAAUCUUAAUGUAUGUUAAACUGUGAUAGAUAAGGAUAGAUUACAAUAUCUUGUAUUAAGGAUUAUUAUACAAUAAAGAUAACUGUGUGAGGGGGAUAAAAAUA